rnacentral:rRNA from 1 species
UACGGGGGGGGCAAGCGUUGUUCGGAAUUACUGGGCGUAAAGGGCUCGUAGGCGGCCAACUAAGUCAGACGUGAAAUCCCUCGGCUUAACCGGGGAACUGCGCCUGAUACUGGAUGGCUCGAGUUUGGGAGAGGGAUGCGGAAUUCCAGGUGUAGCGGUGAAAUGCGUAGAUAUCUGGAGGAACACCGGUGGCGAAGGCGGCAUCCUGGACCAACACUGACGCUGAUGAGCGAAAGCCAGGGGAGCAAACGGG